ensembl:lncRNA
UUACACAUCCAUUGUACGAGUAGUCAUUAAACAAAUAAACAUCACUGUAUUAAGAAGGGUGAAACGACAAUUCCAGUUACUGUACCAAGAAAAACUGUUGUUGAAAAACUAGAGAUCCAAAGAGAUGUCUUGUUGUAAGGAACUGAAUGUCUUAAAUGUAGCCUAUUGUUUUAUUAACUGCCUCCUGUCCUGAGGAGUCAGAAAGUGUUAUGAGUACAAUUUAUGAAUAUUGAAUGAAAGGAAGGCUUAAUUCCAUUUGUGUUCAUCUAAUAAGCUAUACAAUUCUGCUUGGAGGAUCUUUUUUUACACACAAUGUAACUUUUCUACUUUUUGUUCUAGGCACACAAGUGCACCUGAAAUAAUUGCAAAUUUGGCGCUUGCCAUUGACCACAGCAAAGUCAACAGAUUCCACGUGUCCAGAUCUAAUGUAUGGGAUGGUGCUGUCAGAGGUUUUCAGCGUUGCACGUACUCUGAGGAGAAUGACAUGUUUGUGAAGUUUACCGAUGACGCUGGCUCCCAUGAAGAAGGCCUAGACACCGGCGGGCCGAGGCGGGAAUUCCUCACGCUUCAGAUGAAUGAUCUGAUCUUUGACGGACCUCCAGAAAGCCGUUACCUGGUGUACAACUCUACAGGUGUCUGUUUUUCAUGGAUUUUAUUUUUUUUGUCAAUAUAAUUUCAUGAAAGUAUUAUUUUUGUUUUACAUUAAGUCACACUUUCUGCCAAAUUUAAGCACUUUAAAAUAAGGGUUAAGGCUGGACACGACCCCUUUAGUCUUGUUAAACUUUCUGGCCAUAGUCCCAUGAUUUAUCACUUGAAUGCUUUAAAAGUGACUACAGAUUAGAUUGUGUGACAUUCACAAAUGGUAAAGCAUGUUCAGUGAAAAGCUUGUUGGUGGGUUGAGUGUUUUGAAUUUUAAGACCCAGGAAGACUAUUAACUUUAAACUCUGGUAUAGUUACCAGGGUAACUAAAGCCAUAUGAUCAUUGUUCCUACUAGAUUCAAAGAAGAACUUUUUGUUCGCACUCCAGCAGCAUCCGUGUGUGUUGGCCCCACUCUUGUGCCACUCUCAGACAAACCAUACAGCUGCCGACAUGGAAAGCCUGUUCACACCACUCCUCAGUCCAGCAGGAAGUAAUAGUCAGCAGAAAGAAGGCAAAGCUCUUGGAUUUUGGGCAGAUUUUCUUCUUGAUUGGGAAGGUUGCUGCUAUUCCUUUCACCACCACCACCAGUGUCUGGACUCCAGGAGGAUUAAGCCCAGUGUGUAAUAAAGUAUUAUUCUAUUAAAUGAGUCUCUCCUGAUUGAACUACUAGUUUGACACUCGACGUGUGAGAAACAGAAAGAACUUUGCAGACGAGUCUGGUGAUGACAGUGAAGUAGCGCUUACUGAUAGUCAGAGAUUUUAGGUUGAAACAUAUGUCAUCAUUGACAGACUUUGUUUGUGCCCAUCGAAGCCUACACACAUGUGUGUGACCUCUUAGAGUUUUAUUUGAGAGGGACUGCAAUGAUUGUGAUGUGCGUGAAAGAGCUGCUAAGCUGUGCUCCACUUAUCUGACAGAUCUGGAUAGUUCCUUCUCAGACAAACUUAUUUACUUCAAGCACUUGAGACUUCACCUGUACAGCUUCUGAUUUUGAAGAUAUUGUA